AUCGCUUCUCGGCCUUUUGGCUAAGAUCAAGUGUAUAUUUGGUGGGCCUAAUUUCUUUGAGUUAUUUAUGUAUUCUAGAUAUAUAUUCUUAAUAUGUUCUUUAUCUGAGGAACAGUUGGUAAAAACUUUUCCCCACAUUGUAGGCUGUGCCUUAGCCCUCUUGGUGGUGUCUCU
rnacentral:snRNA from 1 species